CCUGGCUCAGAGUGAACGCUGGCGGUAGGCCUAACACAUGCAAGUCGAACGGCAGCACAGAGGAGCUUGCUCCUUGGGUGGCGAGUGGCGGACGGGUGAGGAAUACAUCGGAAUCUACUCUGUCGUGGGGGAUAACGUAGGGAAACUUACGCUAAUACCGCAUACGACCUACGGGUGAAAGCAGGGGAUCUUCGGACCUUGCGCGAUUGAAUGAGCCGAUGUCGGAUUAGCUAGUUGGCGGGGUAAAGGCCCACCAAGGCGACGAUCCGUAGCUGGUCUGAGAGGAUGAUCAGCCACACUGGAACUGAGACACGGUCCAGACUCCUACGGGAGGCAGCAGUGGGGAAUAUUGGACAAUGGGCGCAAGCCUGAUCCAGCCAUACCGCGUGGGUGAAGAAGGCCUUCGGGUUGUAAAGCCCUUUUGUUGGGAAAGAAAUCCAGCCGGCUAAUACCUGGUUGGGAUGACGGUACCCAAAGAAUAAGCACCGGCUAACUUCGUGCCAGCAGCCGCGGUAAUACGAAGGGUGCAAGCGUUACUCGGAAUUACUGGGCGUAAAGCGUGCGUAGGUGGUCGUUUAAGUCCGUUGUGAAAGCCCCUGGGCUCACCUGGGAACUGCAGUGGAUACUGGACGACUAGAGUGUGGUAGAGGGUAGCGGAAUUCCUGGUGUAGCAGUGAAAUGCGUAAAGAUCAGGAGGAACAUCCAUGGCGAAGGCAGCUACCUGGACCAACACUGACACUGAGGCACGAAAGCGUGGGGAGCAAACAGGAU
rnacentral:rRNA from 2 species